rnacentral:lncRNA from 1 species
GUAAUGUUAAGUGCCACAUUCCACAAUGAAAAUAUAGCAAUUAUGAAUAUCUAUACACCUGUAAUUUGAAAAAAACUACAGGAAACUAAAGGAGAAAGAGAAACACACUAAUAAGAGGAAAAUAACAAGGCUGGGUGUGGUGGCUCAUGCCUGUAAUCCCAGCACUUUGGGAUGCCGAGGUGGGCAGAUCACCUGAGGUCAGAAGUUCGAGACCAGCCUGACCAACAUAGAGAAGUCCCAUCUCUACUAAAAGUACAAAAAAUUAGCUGGGUGUGGUGGCGCAUGCCUGUAAUCCCAGCUACUUGGGAGGCUGAGGCAGGAGAAUUGCUGGAACCUAGGAGGUGGAGUUUGUGGUGAGCUGAGAUCAUGCCAUCGCACUCCAGCUUGGGCAACAACAGCAAAACUCCAUCUCAAAAAAAAAAAAAAAAAGGAAAAUAACAAACCACUCUCUGAGUACAUUCAAGUGCCCCCACAAAAAAGUAAGGAUGUAAAAGACCCAAACAAUAUAAUUAAAAAGUAGAUAUUUUGAAUAUAUUCACAUUAUCAAUAUGUAUAUAUAAAUAUCUAUCUAUAUAAACUAUACCCUGAAAAUGGAAGAUGCACCUUCCUCUUAAACAAAUGUAUAGAUUCUUCAUAUAAAUUAAUCAUUUGUAGAGCUCAAGAAAGACCUCAGUAGGUUUCAUAAAGUAGAAAUAUUAGGUACAACACUCUCAGCCCCCAAUGCAAUAAAAUUAGAAAUUAAAAAUAAAACAACAACAAAAAGCCUUUUCACAUGGAAAUUUUAAAACUCUUAAGCAUCUCUUUAUUGAAAGGAGAAAUGAAAAAGGAAAGUACAGACUUUCUUUAAAAUAGUGAUAAUGAAAAUACUACAAAUCUAUGCAAUACACAGAUCAGUAAUCAGAAAAAAAUCAUAACUCUAACACCUAUAUUGAUAAAAACAAAAGAAUGGAAAUAAAUUCUCAAUUGAAAAAUUGAGAAAAAUGACAGCAAAAUAAAGCAAUGACAAAGUUCUAAUAACACUAAAUAUACAUUUCUUUUUCAACCCAGCAAUCCCACUUCUAGAAAUUUAUUCUGAAGAUACAAGAAGGCAAAAAUGCAUAUGCACACAAAUUCAACGGAAGAGUUGUGAUUGUAAAGUACCUCAUAGGAGAUUGGUUCAAUAAGCUAUAGUACACACAAAAAAUGGAGCACUAUGAAGCUGUUAAAAAAAUAAUUAAGAGGAUCUCUGAACUGAUAUGGAACGAUUUCCAGGAGAUUUUAUGAAGCAAAAAAAGUAAUGUUCAGGCUGGGCACAGUGGCUCACGCAAGUAAUCCCAGCACUUUGAGAGGCCAAGGCAGGCAGAUCACAAGGUCAAGAGAUUGGGACCAUCCUGGCCAACAUGGUGAAACCCUGUCUCUGCUAAAAAUACAAAAAUUAGCUGGGCGUGGUGGUGCACGCCUAUAGUCCCAGCUAUGCAGGAGACUGAGGCAGGAGAAUCUCUUGAACCAGGGAGGUGGAGGUUGGAGUGAGCCAAGAUCACGCCACUGCACUCCAGCCUGGCAACAGAGUAAGACUCCGUCAAAACAAACAAACAAACAAAAAAAAAACAGUAAUGUACACAUGUAGUAUGUUACAUGUUGUAUAAGAAAAAAGAGAAAAUGAAAACAUGCAUAUAUCUGCUUAUCAUCACAAAAAGAAACAGAAAAUAAACUAGAAAACAAUGAAUUUGGUUAUCUACAAGUAGAUAACCAAGAGAUAAAGGUCCCGACCUCUAAUACCUUUCCUCAUUAAAGGGUUCCUGGCAGAAAGGCCUAUUCCAGAGCUGGGACAUUGACUUAGUCCAUUUAUGUUGCUACAAGGAAAUACCUGAGGCUGGAUAAUUUACAAAGAAAAGAGGUAUAUUUGGCUCACACUUCUGCAGGCUGUACAAGAAGCAUGGUGCCAGCAUCUGCAUCUGGUGAGGGUUUCAGGAAUCUUCCACUCAUGGCAGAAGGCAAAGGGGAGCCCACAUGUACAAAAGUCACAUGACAGGAAAGCAGAAGCAAGAGAGAGGGGAGAGAUGUGAGGCUCUUUUAAAUAAUUAGUUCUCACAGGUGCUAAGAGUGAGGACUCAAUCAUUACUGUGAGGACAGCACCAAGCCAUUCAUAAGGCAUCUGUCGAGGACGGCACCAAGCCAUUCAUAAGGGAUCUGUCGAGGAUGGCACCAAGCCAUUCAUAAGGGAUCUGUCCAGGACGGCACCAAGCCAUUCAUAAGGGAUCUGUCCAGGACGGCACCAAGCCAUUCAUAAGGGAUCUGUCCAGGACGGCACCAAGCCAUUCAUAAGGGAUCUGUCCAGGACGGCACCAAGCCAUUCAUAAGGGAUCUGUCCAGGACGGCACCAAGCCAUUCAUAAGGGAUCUGUCGAGGACGGCACCAAGCCAUUCAUAAGGGAUCUGUCGAGGACGGCACCAAGCCAUUCAUAAGGGAUCUGUCCUCAUGAACCAGACACCUCCCACUAGGCCCCACCUGCAACACUGGGGGUGAAAUUUCAACAUGAGACUUGGAGGGGACAGAUAUCCAAAUGAUAUCAGACAUGUAAGUUCAAGAUAAGCGUAGAGCACUUUGUUUUGCUGGAAAUUAACAAAGCGCUCUCCACAAAAAUGAUGGGAACAUGAUACAAGGGCACAGGAACCAGCUUGAAGGGAUCCCACCAGCCAAACCAAUUGAACUUCAAAAAUAAUUAAGUAAUGAAUUGUAAACCAUUAAAAAAUAUGGGAACUCACAAGUCCAACCAAUAAUAGAAAAAAAUGGGAAAGAAGCCAGAGCUCAGUUUAUAGUCUAUGCCAUGGACUAAAUGGCAAACACAGGUAAAUGGGAAAUUAGAAAACCAUCACUUUGCCACCUUCAUAGUAAGGACUGGAUCAGACAAGAAUCAUCAUGCUCAAUCUAGGGGGCAGUGCUGAAAAGCAGCAGGAUACUGGCAUGGACAUAAAAUGUUCCCCCACAGGCUGUUAACCAGUUGCAAGGGAGAAAACAAAAAGUAAUUAUACAAUGGAGAAAUCAGGCAAUAUCUUGAUCAGGUGAUCAAAAUGAACAUCACCUAUGAGGAACAGGUGGACUUUAUGUACCUCCAGAUGUGAUAUUCUAAAGAAGGUAUAACACCCCUGUACAGAAUUUAUACCAAGAAUACAUAACCCCAAUCUAAUCACAAGGAAACAGCACAUAAACACAAAAUGAGGAACGUUUGUUUUUAACGGUGGAGGGGAGAAACUGAAUUCUUCAAAAAUGUUUAUAUAAUGAAAGACAAAAUCUGGAAUGCUCCAGAUUAAAUGGUACUAAAGUCAUGAUGAUUAAAUGCAAUACCUUACUCCAGAUUGGAUCCUGGAAGGGGUAAAAUUGCUACAAAGAACACUAUUAGACAAACUGACAAAAUUGGAAUACAGAUGGUACAUUAGAUAAAAGUAUUGUUCAUGUAAAUUUAUGAAGUUGAUAAUUGUUCUAAAGCUAUAUGAGAUCUCCAUCCUUCGUAAAAAUAAGCUAAAGUAUUUAGUUAUGAUGUAUGUAACUCAUGUUCAAAUGGUUCAGAAAAAAAAUUAUAGAAGGAGAGAGAACAAAUGUUAAAGCAAAGGAUAAAAUGUUUGCCUCAAACAUAAGCUUCUUAAAACAUCCGUAAGAUUAUGUUUACUCCCCUGGGUAAAACCAUCAGGAGCUUUCUACUGCAAAUAAAGUAAAAUCCAAAUUCUUUAUCAGGACCUACCAGGCCAGCAAGAUCGAGCCUCUGAUGGCCUCUCUUAGAUUAUACCAUGACCCCAAACCCGGCAAACCCCUGUGCUGGUUCAUGGAGCUCUCAGAUCCUCAGAAACAUCCCUCUCUCCUGCCUCUGGGAUUUUACACAUUCGGUGUCUUGCCUUGAUAAUAUCCUCGUCCACUCUUAACGUCUGACUUCUUUUCAUCCUGGCAGUUUUAGCUUAGUGCCACCUCCCCACUCCAUUUAAGGUUGGCCUGCCCCCAUUCUCUCAGUAUCCUUUUCUACUAUAUUGUAACUGUUACCCAACAUCCAGGUGCUUAGGAAGGUUAUAUAAUCUGCAGAGUUCACAUAUCAACCACUUCAAUUGCUGACAAAGCUACAAAACACAUUUCAGUAAAUAAGCAUGUUAAAGAGCCCUUAGAAGACACCAAUAAUGUUAUGACUACUGUAAUCAAUCCAGUAGGAAAUAAAAAUGUUUGUUACUGCUCAAUUGCAGCUUACAGUUAAAACAAUACUCUUCAAAAUAUUUUCAGGAGCCUCUAGUUUAAGAAAGUUACUAUGGCUUGGGUGUACAAUCACUACAACUGAUACCUAGCAGAAUGACAACAAUUAAGGCACAGGAAGAAGUUCCAGACAUUGUCCAAUUUCUCAUUGCUACCUUGUUUUCUUAGGAACUUACAACUUCAGACAAGAGAACAUUAAUGCAUUAAUGAGGCUACCAAAAAGAAAAAGAAAAAAAACACAUAGGCAGUGUUGCUACACAUGGAUUAUAAAAUUAUACAUUCCAGUCAUAGUCAGUUAAAAGUACAUAAGCAAAUGUGAUCUAGCAGACAGAGCCUGGGAAUCUAGAUGACCUUGGAUAUCGAAUCUAAUUCCCUGAGUUUGAGUCUCCCCAUCUGUAAAACAAAGAAAUGAAAACUUUCCCAGAAUGGUAAAGAUUAACUGAAACCUGUGAAAACACUGGAUACUUAGUUGGCUUGUAAGUGUCUGUCUAAAAAAUAAUAAUUCACUAGGAAACUGCAAAGAAUAACUGUAAAUUUCCAAAUUUAAGUCGAAAUUGUGUUGUAAGCAUAUUUACUUUAAGCAAGUAACGUAAACUAUGUGCACAAGUAUGGUUUUCGUUGUUUAAAAUGAUUUUCAAUGUAUAAGGUGACUCAAAUGGGAUCUAAUAAGGCACUCACUUCACUUGGUCAGGAACAAUUUCCUGGGUGUCUCUGAUCAAGAAAAGAGAUGAAGAGAAAGAAGCAGGUUUACAAAGGACAAGGAAAGAAGACACAGGAUUAGAAUGGGUUAACAAAGCAAAGAAUAAGCCUUCCCAAAGUGAGCAAUGAAGCAAGUGGAAACAAGGAAAGUUGAACAGUAAAUUUGGAUCCACCAAAAAUCCUCAUGCUUAAAAGGAAGCUCGAAGCCCCAGUGUGGAUUUGUUAUGCACCCAAUACGCUGUUUGUGCUAACUACAUAAUGAAGAUGAGGCGGGGUGAUCCGGACACAGACCUGGACACUCUGACCUCUGGCACAGAAUUGGCUACAGGAGUGCUGGGGGAGAGAGGCAGCAGGGUAGCGGAGUCAUAUCAAGCAACAAGAAACACAAGUUAGUACAUUUUCCACAAAUUUCAAUUUUACUCCCUUCCCUCAUGAUACACACAUACAAAGCAUUUGAAGGAUGGGAAGAAGAAGCUGAGAUCACAGGGAAAAUAGUAAGAGACAUUCAGAAGGGCUGGUCUUAGAGAUUUACUAGUUUGGGGAGGUCAGAGAACAGUAGCAUAUGAAAGAACGCUAAGACAGUUCCCAGGGUUAGGCAUGGGUGACUAGUUUGAUUAUAUCAUUUUGUCCCACUCACAAUGACAAGGAGAAUUACUGAGGGAACACAUGAUGGGGCUGAUAGAGUGCUAGGAGGUGGAUACAUGAAAAUGUAAAUGUCAUCAUUUUGAACACCCAUGGCACUCCAAGUGAGAUUCCCUAACAUAUAUGAUAUACAGACAGAUAUAUGAGUUUGAAACUCUAGAGGUGAAUGCGAAUUUAGGAAUCCCUGGAACACAGGUCAUGACUUCAGUAAUGGGAGUCAAAGAUUACUCAGAGAAAGCACAGAAUGAAAAGAGAAGAAAGAAGUAGGCCAAGGAAGAAGAGAUUGGAGGAGACCAAGGCAGGGUGAUAAGAUCAAAACAGAAGAAAGGAAUCUGAUGGAAGUCCCAUUAGAUUAUCAUGUCCCUUCCCAGAGGAUAGGGACAUGCCUUUUUUGUCUUUUAUACUCAAUUAUCACAGGGCCUGACACAGAAGCCACUCAAUGUUUUUUUAAAUUGGGUUCUACUAUUCACAGUUUGCUGUAUCCACCAGGGGAGAAAAAAGUAUAAACAAGCACAGAUAUGGAUUUUUUUACACUGUGUACUAAAGGGGCCAGAUUAUACACAGUAUUUUAUGCCUUACUUUUUUACUUAAUAUAUCUUAGAAGUUUGCACAUGCUUAUGGAAGGACUGGCUGCAUUUUUUGGUCUACAACAGAAUACUCUAUUAUAAAACUAUACACUAUAAUUUUUAUUUAACCAACUGUUUAUUGGUGGACAUUCAGAAUGGAGGAAUGUUUCAACAAGGGAACAAUCAACAGUAUCAAAAUACUGCAGAGGGGUCAAUUUGGGGACUAAGAGAGGAGACACUGGAUUUGGCAACUAGGAGAUAAAUUUUAGUGCAAUGAUGAAGGCAGAAUCCAGAUUAUAAUGAAUUCAAUGAAAAAAGCUGAAGACAUAUAGAUUAUCUGCUCAAGAAACUAGCUAUGGUAAACUGGCAGAGGCUGUAAGAGUGGGAGGUGAGUUUUCUCCUUCAUGUAAAUAUAUUUACUUUUAUAAACACUAGGCCCAAUUUUAUAUCCUACUUCAUUUAACUUUAUGAACAUGUUUAUGUAAUGUUUUAGUAAAAAAUAACUCAUUUUUGCUAUUAUAAAACUGUUAUCUUUAGAUGUUCAGAAGCAACUUCCUAAAAGGAGGUAGCAAUAACAGAGCUAUGUCUAUCAUUCUUUCCCAUCAACCCCCUUGCUGGAGAAGGAAACAUGUGUCCAUCUAGCUUUUAAUUAAUUUUUACCUCUUAUCUUCAUGGCUCUCCAUAUAAAACUUAACUCUUUUUUUGGUAUAUGUGUAUGUAUAUCUAUAACUAGAGAGAGAGACAGAGAGAGAAGAGGGGGUCUUGCCAUGUUGCCCAGGCUGAUCUCAAACUCCUGGGCUCAAGCAAUCCUUCCACCUUGGCCUCGCAAAGUGCUGGGAUUACAGGCAUGAACCACUGUGCCCAGCCUCAGCCUUAACUCUUAAAAUAUCUUCAAAUCCCUGUUCUUCAUUUCUUAAGAAUAUAUGCGUUUAAACCAACUAUAACUUAUUUUGACAAAAACUGGAGUUAAGACCCAAACUUCCUCAGAUGGUCAGUUCUCCUAAGACUAUUUACAGAAUAAUCUAUCUUUUCCCUAUUAAGUUAAAAUACCACCUUUGUCUUAUAAAAUUCUCAUUAGCAUGACUCUGGUUCUAAACUUCUAUUGCCUUUAUCUGUCUGGCCCAGGGCUAUUCCACAAUAUUUUAUUUAAUAUCUGGUUGAACAAGUCUAUUCUUUAUUAUUUUUUAUUAUUUACUCUUCUACACAAACUUUAGAGUCAUUUUUUCAAGUUCCAAAAAUAAAUCUGCUGGGUUUUUUUUUUUUUUUUUAAGACAGGGUCUCACUCUGUCACCUAGGCUGGAGUUCAGAGGCAUGAUCUCAGAUCACUGCAAUCUUUGUUUCCAAGGCUCAAGUGAUCCUCCCACCUCAGCCUCCUGAGUAGUUGAGACUACAAGUGUGUGCCAUCACACCCAGCUAAUUGUCAUCUACCCGCCUCAGCUUCCCAAACUUUUGGGAUUACUAGUGUGAGCCACUGUGCCCAGCAGAAAUUAUAUUUAUAAAUUAAUAUGAAGACAUGGUGAUAAUUAACAUAUUUAUAAUAUGAAAUCUGCUCAUCCAGGGACAUAGAAUGCAAAUCUUUCAUUCCACUCAGCAAAAUUUUGUCAUGUUCUUGAUAAAAGUCCUGCACAUCUAAGUUUAUUCCUAGGUAUUUAAUUUUUGCUGAAAUACUUGAAAAAAUACUUUAUCACUAUAUCUCCUAUGUGAUUAUAGCUAAUAUUGGGGUAGGCUAUUGAUUUUUCAGUAAUGGGGCUUUUAACCAGCAACCUUAAAAAUUGUUGUCAGUUGGUUCCUUUGGAUAUUUUUAGGUAAACAAUUAUGUCAACUUAAAAUAAUGAUUGUUAUUUUUCUAUAAAGAUUAUGACAUCAUGGGAAAAUACGGUAAAUGCUUUUUUAAAAUUUUUAAUUUUUAAUUUUUUUAGAGAUGGAGUCUCACUCUGUCCCCCAGGCUGGAGUGCAGUGGCAUGAUCUCGGCUCACUGCAAGCUCCGUCUCCCAGGUUCACGCCAUUCUCCUGCCUCAAUCUCCCGAGUAGCUGGGACUACAGGUGCACCAGCCACCAUACCCGGAUAAUUUUUAUAUUUUUAGUAGAGAUGGGGUUUCACCGUGUUAGCCAGGAUGGUUUCGAUCUUCUGACCUCAUGAUCCGCCUGCCUCGGCCUCCCAAAGUGCUGGGAUUACAGAUGUAAGCCACCAUGCCCAGCCUAGUAAAUGCUUUUUAAAAGAAUAUAAAACUAUAGAGAAUAUGACCUCAACUAUUUAAAAAUAUGUAUAAGGGUUAUGUAUUUUACUAGCAAAGAAAAAAUAUAUACUGGUAGAAAAUAGCCAUCAUGUCAACAGUGAUUAUAUUAGGUAGAAAAAUU